GAUGAACGCUGGCGGCGUGCCUAAUACAUGCAAGUCGAGCGAACGGACGAGAAGCUUGCUUCUCUGAUGUUAGCGGCGGACGGGUGAGUAACACGAGGAUAACCUACCUAUAAGACUGGGAUAACUUCGGGAAACCGGAGCUAAUACCGGAUAAUAUUUUGAACCGCAUGGUUCAAAAGUGAAAGACGGUCUUGCUGUCACUUAUAGAUGGAUCCGCGCUGCAUUAGCUAGUUGGUAAGGUAACGGCUUACCAAGGCAACGAUGCAUAGCCGACCUGAGAGGGUGAUCGGCCACACUGGAACUGAGACACGGUCCAGACUCCUACGGGAGGCAGCAGUAGGGAAUCUUCCGCAAUGGGCGAAAGCCUGACGGAGCAACGCCGCGUGAGUGAUGAAGGUCUUCGGAUCGUAAAACUCUGUUAUUAGGGAAGAACAUAUGUGUAAGUAACUGUGCACAUCUUGACGGUACCUAAUCAGAAAGCCACGGCUAACUACGUG
rnacentral:rRNA from 1 species